UACGGAGGGUGCAAGCGUUAUCCGGAUUCACUGGGUUUAAAGGGUGCGUAGGUGGGCAGGUAAGUCAGUGGUGAAAUCUCCGGGCUUAACCCGGAAACUGCCGUUGAUACUAUCUGUCUUGAAUAUAGUGGAGGUGAGCGGAAUAUGUCAUGUAGCGGUGAAAUGCUUAGAUAUGACAUAGAACAUCGAUUGCGAAGGCAGCGCGCUACGCUAUUAUUGACACUGAGGAGCGAAAGCGUGGGGAGCGAACAGG
rnacentral:rRNA from 1 species